AUGUCUGCUCCCAAGACCCAAAGGGCUGCUGCCUGACUGGAGAAAGAUGAUAGUAGAGGCCACAGUGAAGUCCGGGGUGUAGGUUACGAGGACAGUAAGGAUAGUAUCCUAGAGCCGCUUUCCCUGCCAGAAGGUCCAGGUGGCACCAGCACUUCAGAAGGUUCUCCAUCUGUGCCUUGUAUUUUCUGGGAAGAUCAUUUUCCUGUGGCUGAACAAGACAAACUUCUAAAGCACAUGAUUACUGAGCAUAAGUUUGUCAUAGCUGAUGUCAAGUUGGUUGCUGAUUUCCAAAGGUACAUUUUAUAUUGGAAGGAAAGAUUCACUGAACAACCUAUCAGAUUUCUGUAGUAUGAUAAGAAUCAAUUCCACAGCUCCAUUUGAAGAACAAGAAAAUUAUUUUUUGUUAUGUGAAGUUUUACCAGAAGAUAGAAUUCUUAGAGAGGAGCUUCAGAAACAAAGACUGAAAGAAAUUCUAGAACAGCAGCAGCAAGAACAAAAUGAUACCAAUUUUCAUGGCAUUUGUAUGGUUUGCAACGGAGAAUUCCCUGGAAACAGAUCUGCUCUUUUGAACCACAUGGCCAGAGAACGUGCUUUCAACAUUGGAUUGCCAGACAACAUUGUAAAUUGCAAUGAAUUUCUGUGUGUGUUACAGAAAAAGCUUGACAGUUUGCAGAGUUUGUACUGUGAGAUAAUCCUUAGGGACAAAAAUACACUUAAAGAUCACAUGAGGAGAAAACAGCAUCACAGGAUCAAUCCUAAGAACAGAGAAUAUGACUGAUUUUAUGUCAUCAAUUACUUGGAACUUGGAAAAUCAUGGGAAGAAGUUCAGCUGGAAGAUGACUGGGAGUUGCUAGACCAUCAGGAAGAGGACUGGUCUGAUUGGGAAGAACACUCUGCCUCUGCUGUCUGCUUAUUUUGUGAAAAUCAAGCAGAAGCAAUCGAGAAAUUAUAUGGCCACAUGGAGGAUGCACACGAAUUUGAGCUUCUCAAAAUAAAAUCAGAACUUGGAUUAAAUUUCUAUCAGCCAGAGAAACUGGUCAAUUUUAUUCAGAGGCAAGUUCACCAGAUGUAGAUGUUAUGGCUGCCACACAAAGUUCAAAUCCAAAGCAGACUUAGGGAAUCACAUGCAAGAAACUAAACAUACUUCACUGCUUCCUGAGAGAAAGACAUGGGAUCAACUUGAGUAUUAUUUUCCAACCUAUGAAAACGACACUCGCCUGUGUAUACUACCUGACAGUGAAAGUGACCUGAUAUCUCAGGAACAAAAUGAAAAUGUUCCCAUCAUCAGUGAAGAUACAUCUAAACUUCAUGCUUUGAAACAAAGCAGUAUUUUGAAUCAGUUGCUACUACAAGAGUGCUUAAAGAAGUAGGAACUACUACAGAAGCAAUGUAGUUUUCCUGUUUUUCUCUUUUGAGACAGACAUGAAAGAAUAGUUUAAAUUUGAAGGCCAACAAAGAGUUAGUCCUUGGUGAAAUAAACUUUUCAAAAAUGAAUGUUCUUUC